AACAAAUUGACAAGAAGUUUGUGGUGAAAGUUAUGACACUUUAAAGGACAUAUAAUCUGCUGUGCUUUUCAAAAUCCCCAAAUAGUUCUACCUUCUAGUUAUCAAUGUUGCUGUUUGUCUUGGAACUUCAGUUUUCCAUGAAAGAAGCCUGGUUUAGUCAAGAUAAGUGACCAAAACCAUACUGGAUUGCCAGCAUUCUUGAGGUAAGGGGGACUUAUGGUCUCCUUGCUAACUCUUCAGGAAAAACAGAGGAGCAACUGGGAAACCUGUCUUCCAAGGAAAAGAUGAAAGCUAUAGCUAAGUGAGGAGAUGUGUCCUUCUCAACACUGACAGUGUGGUCAAAGAGACAGCUCCCCCUGACUUUUCCCUGAAGAGUUCACAGACAACUGUCCAGAAGAGCGCCCGGUCUCCCCGGCGUUUCUGUUAACAGCAGGAUUCACUGCAGCACUCUGGACUGCUGCUGCCGUGUCAUUCCAGUGCCUCUGGGGUCAGCUGAGUGCAUUAAAUUAACACUGUUCCCAGGCAAAGCAAAAUGUCUGGCAACAGGAUGGUGCAGCAUAAUAAUGGGAUAGGAGGGGUAGAUGCACACGAAAAUAUGAAAUGAUUGGAAGGAGUGGGGAGCGAUGAUGUGGUUCUGACCGACGUGACUUAGUGCCAAAUGUGCAUUAUCACACAGAUCUCCCAGCAGAUUAUAUGUCUCUUCACCACCACUUAACAUUUUUAUAGCUUAUUUCAGUAUUUUUGCAUUUGUUCCACCUGUUAUAAUUUAUUUAUGAGUUUAAGAUUAUUAAAAAUUUGAAGCUUCAUUACAAACUAUCCUGGGGGAAUCUCACCUGCCUCAUGCUAUUACAUUAUUAUUACCAAGUGUCUAAUUUAUAUUUAGCCAAACAUCAAUUGAACAUCAAUAAAAUAAUAAUGAAUGAAUAAGCUAUAGCUUCCUAGAAAUACUAGUAGCUUAAGUGUGUAAGCAAAGGCAGUUCCCUGUCUGUGGGUCAGCUAUCAAAUCUCUCUGAGACUAUUUGACAGAACCAUUUAGUAUUUAGAAUAUGAUAAUAAGCCAUAAAAAUAGUUAAUUGCUAUGUUCUUCAGCUAAUUCUUGUGAUAACUAUGACCCAUACCAACCUGUGAACCUGAGCUGAGAAGCAACCCAGAGUUCCAUGUAAGACAGUCAUUUCCAAACACUGUAAGUACCUAAGGGACUCCAUGUUUCCACAAAAUGAAAUGACAAAAGAAUUUCGGCUUGGGUAAAUGCUUAAUUUUUCGCUUGAACACGACCUCUUAGACUGAAAUUAUUUAUUUUUCUACCCAGGCAAAUCAAAAUAAAUCUUUUUUUUUUUUUUUUAAUUAACUUAAACAUCUGCCUAUGAACAUUGAAAUAGCAUAGUUCAACAUUGCUGGUUGGGUGUUCUGUUUUAACAAAAUAUCGACCCAAAAAACAGGCUUUGGCAAAUACUUCUCUGCAGACAGAAGUGGCAUUAUUUCAGCCGGGGGAAUUUCAGUAAAGACCCUAGUCCUAUUCCACCCUAUGGCUCCACAGUGAUUGUCAUCUCUAAUUAGUGAUGAAGAUCACUAAUUGGGGACUACUUCCAUGUACACUUCCUAGGUUUAUAUGUUUUCCCCUUCCUCUGCUAAGCCUCAAGAGCCGAAGUUUUCAUUCUGGAUCUUUUGAUCUCUUCUUCAAUUUCCUACUGUGUACUCUCCUUUAUGGUUCAAAUUUUAUCAGGGAUUGAAGAAGCGCCCUAGAUGCAAAAGAUAACCGUGUUGUCAGUAUUCUUCUCUGUCCCAGUCCACGAAGAAUCACUUAACCCUGUUCUUCAAAAUGAUCCCACUGAAGUCAGUGGAACUGUCUCAGCCCCUCACUUCAGCACUAUCUACAUGAGGGCUCUAAAUACCCAUCUGUGGAACUGAAGCCAAAAGACAGUAUUAUCCUUCUAUGACAGUCUGAUAUUUUUUAAUAUUCACUGACUCUCCUUUCCUUUUCAUCUACAACACAUUUGUCUUUUUUAACUGCUUGGGUCCACUCUAGCUAUCUGUAUUAUGCAAGCAAAGAUUAUAAGGCCAAAUGUCCUCAGGCAUGCAGCAUGGGCUCAUUCAAAAUUACAAUCCCAUUUGAAACCUCAAUGCCACUUGGGAUCUUGAGAAGUCCACCAAGAAUUGCUGUUCAAGUCUAACAUAAAGAGGUUCCAGUUCAACAUUUAAAGUUCUAUUAAGAUCUAAAGGGGCCAUCAGACAUUCUGAUCUGAUCUCUUAGCUGAGAUUUUUUUACUCAGUUACUUCUACAUCAAUCCCCACAACUCCUGUUUGAGUAAAACACAUCCUAUUGAAAUACUUCCAGUGUUAAAAGGAAAAUCCAUCAUCUCGGUGGUUUACACUAGCAUUUAUUAUCCCACCCAUUUAUUACCACACUUCUUCUCAAAUUGAACUUGUCAGGCUGUCACUCCCACUCACUGACUUGUCCUUCCCUCCAUGCAAGGCUUUGUCAGCCCAUGUUUUGGUCUCAGGGGUGCUGGUACAACACAACCUGAAUGAGCUGGACUCAAAGGUAUGGGCAGUUCCACCACUCAAAAACGUGCAAGCCAUUGCAUGCUUAUGUUCCAUCCUUGGCAAGUCCUUUUAUCAUGAAGAAUUCAUCAAAGUUCAGAAUCAAGGAUAUCUUCUCUGUUCUUCCUGGGCAGACCCAAAUACACUCCUUUUUGGGUACUCUUAUAGGGAGUACUUUUUGAGUACUCUCAUAGGGAAUUGAUGACUAGUGUAACAAAAGAGCACCUUCCCACACCUCUGAGGGAUGGUUCUAAUUUUUGAGCAACCCACUUACUGGAUUUCACAUUUUAUGCCAUAUAACCACAGGCAAAUUUUGAAAAAAAAAAUGCCACUCACCU